GGCAGUGGUGGUUCAGUGGGUAAAAUGUUGGACUACUGAUCAGAUGAUCUUGAGUUCAAAUCCGAACACCGCCC